rnacentral:rRNA from 1 species
GACGAACGCUGGCGGCGCGCUUAACACAUGCAAGUCGAGCGAGAACCAGCCCUUCGGGGCUGGGGACAGCGGCGAACGGGUGAGUAACACGUGGGUAAUCUGCCCUCGGCAUCGGGAUAGCCCGGGGAAACCCGGAUUAAUACCGAAUAGCCUCCGGAGCCUUCGGGCGCCGGAGAAAAGGUAGCUUCGGCCUCUGGCCGAGGAUGAGCCCGCGGCGGAUUAGCUUGUUGGCGGGGUAACGGCCCACCAAGGCGACGAUCCGUAGCUGGUCUGAGAGGACGAUCAGCCACACUGGGACUGAGACACGGCCCAGACUCCUACGGGAGGCAGCAGUGGGGAAUCUUGCGCAAAUGCGGGAAACCGUGACGCAGCGACGCCGCGUGGGGGAAGAAGGCCUUCGGGUUGUAAACCUCUUUCAGGAGGGACGAAGCUACUCGGGUUAAUAGCCCAGAGGGUGACGGUACCUCCAGAAGAAGCCCCGGCUAACUACGUGCCAGCCGCCGCAGUAAAAC